rnacentral:rRNA from 1 species
AAGGCAGCUUUCUGGAUCAUUACUGACACUGAGGAACGAAAGCAUGGGUAGCGAAGAGGAUUAGAUACCCUCGUAGUCCAUGCCGUAAACGAUGUGUGUUAGACGUUGGAAAUUUAUUUUCAGUGUCGCAGGGAAACCGAUAAACACACCGCCUGGGGAGUACGACCGCAAGGUUAAAACUCAAAUGAAUUGACGGGGACCCGCACAAGUAGUGGAGCAUGUGGUUUAAUUCGAAGAUACGCGCAGAACCUUACCAACACUUGACAUGUUCGUCGCGACUCUAAGAGAUUAGAGUUUUCGGUUCGGCCGGACGAAACACAGGUGCUGCAUGGCUGUCGUCAGCUCGUGUCGUGAGAUGUUGGGUUAAGUCCCGCAACGAGCGCAACCCUCACUUUUAGUUGCCAUCAUUAAGUUGGGCACUCUGAAAGAACUGCCAGUGAUAAGCUGGAGGAAGGUGGGGAUGACGUCAAGUCCUCAUGGCCCUUACGUGUUGGGCUACACACGUGCUACAAUGGUAUCUACAACAGGAAGCAAGACUGCGAAGUUAAGCAAAUCCCUAAAAGAUACCUCAGUUCGGAUUGCACUCUGCAACUCGAGUGCAUGAAGCUGGAAUUACUAGUAAUCGUGGAUCAGCGUGCCACGGUGAAUGCGUUCCCGGGUCUUGUACACACCGCCCGUCACACCAUGGGAGUUGGUUCUACCUUAAGGCAAGGUUUCAAACCCUUGACCACGGUAUAGUCAGCGACUGGGGUGAAGUCGUAACAAGGUAGCCGUAGGGGAACCUGCGGCUG